rnacentral:lncRNA from 1 species
ACAUAUUACACCACAAUGAAAAUAUGUUUAUAAACAUGCACAUACAUUGAACGCAAGUUGACAAACAAAUUAACCUAGAGGAAGCAUAGUUUUGACCAUCUUAACAAUCAUCUAGGACACACAAGUCACAAAAAGAUAAGGACUAUUGGUUACUAUGAGAGACUUCAGAUGGUCUAGAACACACAAGUUUGUAUCUACAUGCACAAAGUGUAAGCUCCAAAACACUCGAAACACCAAAUGGUCUACAAGACAAUAAGGUCCAUGAUUACAGGUUGGUUGGUCCAUAAACGCUAGAGAGUCAUCAUGUCCAUGUGCAUCAAUAGGUUGAGUACCUGAAAACAUUUUGCACAAAUUUGUCAAGAAAGUGGAACCAGAUCAAGUUGUUAAAAUCUCAUAUGCG